UACGUAUGGAGCAAGCGUUAUCCGGAAUUACUGGGUGUAAAGGGAGCGUAGACGGAUGUGCAAGUCUGAUGUGAAAGGCGGGGGCUCAACCCCUGGACUGCAUUGGAAACUGUAAAUCUUGAGUGCCGGAGAGGUAAGCGGAAUUCCUAGUGUAGCGGUGAAAUGCGUAGAUAUUAGGAGGAACACCAGUGGCGAAGGCGGCCUGCUGGACGAUGACUGACGUUGAGGCUCGAAAGCGUGGGGAGCAAACAGG
rnacentral:rRNA from 1 species